ACGGGAGGCAGCAGUGGGGAAUAUUGGACAAUGGGGGAAACCCUGAUCCAGCGACGCCGCGUGAGUGAAGAAGUAUUUCGGUAUGUAAAGCUCUAUCAGCAGGGAAGAAAAUGACGGUACCUGACUAAGAAGCCCCGGCUAACUACGUGCCAGCAGCCGCGGUAAUACGUAGGGGGCAAGCGUUAUCCGGAUUUACUGGGUGUAAAGGGUGCGUAGGCGGCAUGGCAAGUCAGAAGUGAAAUCCCAGGGCUCAACCCUGGAACUGCUUUUGAAACUGUCAGGCUAGAGUACAGGAGAGGUAAGCGGAAUUCCUAGUGUAGCGGUGAAAUGCGUAGAUAUUAGGAGGAACACCAGUGGCGAAGGCGGCUUACUGGACUGACACUGACGCUGAGGCACGAAAGCGUGGGGAGCAAACAGGAUUAGAUACCC
rnacentral:rRNA from 1 species